rnacentral:rRNA from 1 species
GAUGAACGCUGGCGGCGUGCCUAAUACAUGCAAGUCGAGCGAACAGACGAGGAGCUUUCUCCUCUGACGUUAGCGGCGGACGGGUGAGUAACACGUGGAUAACCUCCCUAUAAGAAUGGGAUAACUUCGGGAAAACGGAGCUGAUACCGGAUAAUAUAUUGCACCGCAUAGUUCAUGAGUAAAAGACGGUUUUGCUGUAACAUAUAGAUGGAUCCACGCCGCAUUGGCUAAUUGGUAAGGUAACGGGUUACCAAGGCGACGAUGCGUAACCGACCUGAGGGGGGGGAUCAGCAACCGGGAACUGAGACACGGUCCAGACUCCUACGGGAGGCAGCAGUAGGGAAUCUUCCGCAAUGGGCGAAAGCCUGACGGAGCAACGUCGCGUGAGUGAUGAAGGUCUUCGGAUCGGAAAACGCUGUUAUUAGUGAAGAACAAAUGUGUAAGUAACAGUGCACAUCUUGACGGUACCUAAUCAGAAAGCCACGGCUAACUACGUG